CCUACGGGAUGCAGCAGUGAGGAAUAUUGGUCAAUGGACGAGAGUCUGAACCAGCCAAGUAGCGUGAAGGAUGACUGCCCUAUGGGUUGUAAACUUCUUUUAUAUGGGAAUAAAACGUUCCACGUGUGGGAUUUUGUAUGUACCAUAUGAAUAAGGAUCGGCUAACUCCGUGCCAGCAGCCGCGGUAAUACGGAGGAUCCGAGCGUUAUCCGGAUUUAUUGGGUUUAAAGGGAGCGUAGGUGGAUUGUUAAGUCAGUUGUGAAAGUUUGCGGCUCAACCGUAAAAUUGCAGUUGAAACUGGCAGUCUUGAGUACAGUAGAGGUGGGCGGAAUUCGUGGUGUAGCGGUGAAAUGCUUAGAUAUCACGAAGAACGCCGAUUGCGAAGGCAGUUCACUGGACUGCAACUGACACUGAGGCUCGAAAGUGUGGGUAUCAAACAGGAUUAGAUACCCGGGUAGUC
rnacentral:rRNA from 1 species